rnacentral:rRNA from 1 species
UACGGAGGAUGCAAGCGUUAUCCGGAAUUAUUGGGCGUAAAGCGUCCGCAGGUGGCACUUCAAGUCUGUCGUCAAAGACCGGGGCUUAACCCUGGAAAGGCCGUGGAAACUGAAGAGCUAGAGUGCAGUAGGGGUAGAGGGAAUUCCCGGUGUAGCGGUGAAAUGCGUAGAGCUCGGGAAGAACAUCGGUGGCGAAAGCGCUCUGCUGGACUGCAACUGACACUCAGGGACGAAAGCUAGGGGAGCGAAUGGG